GGAUAGCUCAGUUGGUAGAGCAUGAGACUCUUAAUCUCAGUCAUGGGUCUGACCCAAUGUUGGACA